rnacentral:rRNA from 1 species
UUCUCCAUGAAUCUUAUUUGGAGUAAGGCCUGCCCAGUGAAACUAACUAAACGGCCGCAGAAUAUUAACUGUGCUAAGGUAGCAUAAUCAUUUGUCUCCUAAUUAGAGACUAGUAUGAACGGCUAAACGAAAUUUUACUGUCUCUUUUAUAUCAAAUAAAAUUUAAUCUUAAAGUCAAAAAGCUUUAAUACAAUAAAAAGACAAAAAGACCCCAUAGAGUUUAAUUUUAAUAUUUCAUAAAAAUAUGGCUAAAAAAUUUAGUUGGGGCAACUAAGAAAAAACAAAUUUUUCUAUUAAAAAAAAAUAUAACUUAUCAUUAAAUUAAUAACACAAAACAAAUUACCUUGGGGAUAACAGCAUAAAUUUCUUUGAGAGUCCAAAUCGAAAAGAAAAAUUAUGACCCUCGAUGUUGGAUUAGAAAAGCCCAAAGUAGAAAAAAACUUUGUCUGUUAGUCUGUUCGACUAUUAAUAUUCUACAUG